AUAUAUAUAUAUAUAUAUAUAUAUAGACUCUUGAGUUUUAUCCGAAGCGUGGACAGUCGGUAUUAUUGUUCCAGUACACAAAAAGGGCUCCGAGUCAGAUGUAAACAACUACAGAGUCCUACAGGACGGUGAAUUAUUGACCAAUUCGCAGACUGAGAAAACUAAGUCACAUACAGUUACAAGGAAACCAGU